AGUGCGCGGUUGUACAUACAACUGGCGCACGGCGCACGGGUGCGUACACGUGGGUCAUUUGCCCUCUGAUGGGGAAUAACUCGCCGAAAGGCGAGCUAAUACCGCAUAACAUUCCGGGAACUCCGGUUUCUGGAUUCAAAGGCGUAAGUCGUCGGAGGAGGAGCCCGCGCACGAUUAGCUAGUUGGUAGGGUAACGGCCUACCAAGGCUAUGAUCGUUAGCUGGUCUGAGAGGAUGGCCAGCCACACUGGAACUGAGACACGGUCCAGACUCCUACGGGAGGCAGCAGUGGGGAAUCUUGCACAAUGGGCGAAAGCCUGAUGCAGCGACGCCGCGUGGGGGAUGAAGCUUCUCGGAGUGUAAACCCCCUUCGACCCGGACGAAUGCCCCGCAAGGGGACUGACGGUACGGGUAUAAGAAGCCCCGGCUAACUACGUGCCAGCAGCCGCGGUAAG
rnacentral:rRNA from 1 species